AUAAAUACCGCUACCCUCCUCCAACCGAAACCACACCCUCACAUCAUCUCGACUCACACCACACAUUGCGCAACACCAUUUUACACCCUCUCUUCCUUGUGUCUGCUCGACAACGGAGCUCCAACCCGUCGGAGAAGUCUAGACGCCGCCGGUGAGCCGGAAUUCACGUUUUCGCCAUCAUUCGAAACCAUGUUCACCGAAAGUUAUAAACAAUUCACAUAAUCCUUCUCUGUUCAUCUACCACGCCUCUUUGCAAACCCAUCGGAGUCCAAAGAUUCUAUCGGAGGAACCCGCAAGUCGCCGGAGAACUCGUAUCGACAUUGAAGCUUACGUCGGGAUUCACGUCUUCAUCGUUUCGGGUAAUUACUUCCGUUCCUUUGGAUUUUUCCAAUCUAUUACUCGUGCGUUACUUACAAAGAAAUCGCAACGCAACCACUGUUGCUAGUCAAGAUGAUCAAGAAACAAGCUAGGAUGGC